GACGAACGCUGGCGGCGUGCCUAAUACAUGCAAGUCGAACGCACUCUCGUUUAGAUUGAAGGAGCUUGCUCCUGAUUGAUAAACAUUUGAGUGAGUGGCGGACGGGUGAGUAACACGUGGGUAACCUGCCCUAAAGUGGGGGAUAACAUUUGGAAACAGAUGCUAAUACCGCAUAAAACCUAACAACCGCAUGGUGUAGGGUUGAAAGAUGGUUUCGGCUAUCACUUUAGGAUGGACCCGCGGUGCAUUAGUUAGUUGGUGAGGUAAAGGCUCACCAAGACCGUGAUGCAUAGCCGACCUGAGAGGGUAAUCGGCCACACUGGGACGUGAGACACGGCCCAGACUCCUACGGGAGGCAGCAGUAGGGAAUCUUCCA
rnacentral:rRNA from 1 species